GACGAACCGAGCGAACGUUGUUCGGAAUCACUGGGCUUAAAGGGCGCGUAGGCGGGUGCUCAAGUCUGUGGUGAAAUCCUCCGGCUCAACCGGAUGAACUGCCAUGGAUACUGGGUGCCUCGAGGGUGGUAGGGGUAUGCGGAACUAUCGGUGGAGCGGUGAAAUGCGUUGAUAUCGAUAGGGAACUCCGGUGGCGAAGGCGGCAUACUGGGACCACUUCUGACGCUGAGGCGCGAAAGCCAGGGGAGCAAACGGG
rnacentral:rRNA from 1 species